ACACUCUACAAAGGCGUGUCUGUGGUUCCCUGUCUUUGGACACGUAAGAAUUGGAGGCAAAGAAAUGCAGAUUUGGAGGAAUCUGGGGCCUGGUUGUUCCCUGGUGGCUCAAAAGCUCAAGAUCAACCAUCCCAUAAAU
rnacentral:snoRNA from 1 species